UGGCCGAAAACAUUCACCUGAGAAGUGUGUCCUGAAGGCCCUUAUCUUUUUCCUGAGAGAAAGUCCUGAAGACCUCAUCAAGGAGUACUUUCUGAGUUGAACGAUAACCAGACAGAUGAUUGAGGAGCAGCUCACCAUGGCGAUGUUCAUUAUUUGGAAGGAGGGGGAGAACUUCAUGAACCAUCUGCUGACAUCGAGGGAGUUAAAGUUUUGAAUCAACUUACUUCAGUUACAUCAGCUUGUGCCCUGCUUCUAGGCCUACAGUUGGAAGCAGCUAUUCUCCUCUUGCCUGCACUGUUCAAGGUGGACCUGGGGUUGCUGUUUGACAUUGAGGGCCAUGCUCAGACCAGCCCUCCUGUCAUCCCAACACCUAAGAUAGUGCCUAAAGCCUGCGGGAGGAUCAUCUCAUGCAGUGUGACCACAUUUUGUUCACGUUGGAUGGCCAGUUAAUCACAGUGGAGAGUGAGGACAUCUUGAUGGCACUGGACCUCCUCCUAUGUGUAUAUUUUGCGUUUGGAAUCGAAUCCAAUCCAGUACCCUAAAGGACUGAAAAAGACACUGACCUUUUUGAAGUGUGUUGUUUUGAAAUUGAAGGAUGCAGUCGGACUUCCUGUCACUGUAAAAUGAGUGUACAACUCAAUCUGUGAGUAGACUUUUGGAGUCAAUAUUCUCUCUUGCUCCCUUUCUUAUGGUUUAAGUUCCAGUUUCUAUAUUGUUUUUGAAAUCCUGAAGGACUUACAAAAAUGUUAGUGCGCUGAAAGAAACUGCAGGACUUCAGAGCAUAACUCAGUAUGUAAAAACAGGACUAUUGUCUUCAAAAAUGUACAUAUUUCAAGCUUGUUGCAUUAUUUUGUAUGUGUAUAAAAGGGGAGUAUAAUGUGAUGUGGUACAUGUAUAUUCCCUGACUUGUCAGCACUGAGUUUAUUUGCUGCUGAAAGAAAUAAAUUAAAAGGUUUUGAAAGUGUAAUGUAUUUUGUUUUUCAGUAAGCAUUUAGUACAUGAUUUUGAAUCUUUGAAGUCAUGAUUUGGUAAGAAAUUAUUAAUUAUCAUUCAUAAAAGUGUAAUUUAGAAGCAUAUUGACUCAUCUACAGUAGUACCUGGCAUGAUAACGGGCCCUGCUAGCUCAAAAAACAAUAUAUGGCACCUCUAAUUUGACAAAUGUGCUAGAAAACUUUAAGAAUAGGUGCUAUAUAGCACCAGAAAAGGUUCCCC